rnacentral:rRNA from 1 species
GAUGAACGCUAGCUACAGGCUUAACACAUGCAAGUCGAGGGGAAACGACAUCGAAAGCUUGCUUUUGAUGGGCGUCGACCGGCGCACGGGUGAGUAACGCGUAUCCAACCUGCCCAUCACUUGGGAAUAACCUUGCGAAAGUAAGACUAAUACCCAAUGAUAUCCCACGAAGGCAUCGGAAUGGGAUUAAAGAUUUAUCGGUGAUGGAUGGGGAUGCGUCUGAUUAGCUUGUUGGCGGGGUAACGGCCCACCAAGGCAACGAUCAGUAGGGGUUCUGAGAGGAAGGUCCCCCACAUUGGAACUGAGACACGGUCCAAACUCGUACGGGAGGCAGCAGUAAGGAAUAUUGGGCAAUGGGCGAGAGCCUGAACCAGCCAAGUAGCGUGCAAGAAGACGGCCCUAGGGGUUGUAAACUGCUUUUAUAAGGGAAUAAAGUGGGUCACGUGUGACUUUUUGCAUGUACCUUAUGAAUAAGGACCGGCUAAUUCCGUG